rnacentral:misc_RNA from 1 species
UCGUAACAAGGUUUCCGUAGGUGAACCUGCGGAAGGAUCAUUACCGAGUGUAGGGUUCCUAGCGAGCCCAACCUCCCACCCGUGUUUACUGUAACCUUAGUUGCUUCGGCGGGCCCGCCUUUAAGGCCGCCGGGGGGCAUCAGCCCCCGGGCCCGCGCCCGCCGGAGACACCACGAACUCUGUCUGAUCUAGUGAAGUCUGAGUUGAUUGUAUCGCAAUCAGUUAAAACUUUCAACAAUGGAUCUCUUGGUUCCGGCAUCGAUGAAGAACGCAGCGAAAUGCGAUAACUAGUGUGAAUUGCAGAAUUCCGUGAAUCAUCGAGUCUUUGAACGCACAUUGCGCCCCCUGGUAUUCCGGGGGGCAUGCCUGUCCGAGCGUCAUUGCUGCCCAUCAAGCACGGCUUGUGUGUUGGGUCGUCGUCCCCUCUUCGGGGGGGACGGGCCCCAAAGGCAGCGGCGGCACCGCGUCCGAUCCUCGAGCGUAUGGGGCUUUGUCACCCGCUCUGUAGGCCCGGCCGGCGCUUGCCGAACGCAAAACAACCAUUCUUUCCAGGUUGACCUCGGAUCAGGUAGGGAUACCCGCUGAACUUAAGCAUAUCAAUAA